GUUGGACCACAACUCAAUGACAUGUACAUCAUCACCCGUAACUGCAUUGGUGGGCCACCAUCUUGUGAUUGUGCCAACUGUGGAA
rnacentral:sRNA from 1 species